UGGGGAAUCUUCCACAAUGGACGAAAGUCUGAUGGAGCAACGCCGCGUGAGUGAAGGAGGGUUUCGGCUCGUAAAACUCUGUUGUUAAAGAAGAACAUAUCUGAGAGUAACUGUUCAGGUAUUGACGGUAUUUAACCAGAAAGCCACGGCUAACUACGUGCCGG
rnacentral:rRNA from 1 species